CAGGCUGCUAUCCUGGAGGACCUGGUAAGAGAUGUUCCUGUGGAGUUGACUUCCUGUUCUCCAGCUCCCAUGCAAGAGUGAUCUUCUGGGAAACAGGAAGGUGUGUAUGCAUGGAUUGGUAUUAACUUUGUGUUGGGACGCUUUGACCAUGCGGAGUACGAUGAUGCCAUGGUGGAGGUCACUACAGGGUCACAGAACCAUCACCCAAUUAGCCGGCGGCGUACAGUGGCAUCAUGGCAUGGGCGGAGCCUCGCUGCAGAUAGCCUAUGAGGUGCCGAGCGCGUCCACUUCAGUUCACCUGAACAGGUAAGGAAGGAUUCACCUGAGAGCUAUCCUUCUCAUUCUUUUGGUGUGGUAUGACUCGGCUGUUGUGUAUACUGGUAGGCCUGAUGUUAGCGG